rnacentral:lncRNA from 1 species
GGAAAUAACUCAGUGAGUCAGAGGGGGAUUAGGGGACUGGAGUUCAAGGCGGAACUCGUCGAGUUGUUCUUGACACUCGACGAGUUGAGUCGGGGUGACCCCACGAUUCAUGUCAGGUGUAGCUCGUCGAGCAAGGGGAAAUACUCGACGUGCCAAGAGAGACUAGAGAGAUAGUGGACACAUGUAGACUCACCAAGUCGCCCAAGUGCACUCGACGAGUCGGGUCAAAGUUUGACCAUUGACUUUUGUUGACUUUUAGGGUUUGGUCAACAAUGGGGUCGUUGAGCUAAGAGAGGGGUAAAAUUUUCUUUUACCCUUCUGAGGAUGCCAAGAGAGAGUUGAGUUUAGUCUCGAGAGUUAUAUUUAUGAGAGUAUUUACCUUAUGUCAUCAAGCGGAGGCUAGACUAUAUUUCUACCGAGUCAGAGAUUUACCGAGAUAUCUGAGGUGGGUCUUCUCACUAUACUUUACCUUGAGUAGGUAAUUAGAGUUAUGUGACAGAGGUAUUGUAUGCUAUCUAUGUGAUGUGUUGCACUGCAUUAUUUUUAUGUGAUUUAUGCCAUGUGUAUAUCAAAGUAUAUAGAGUUAGAACCGGAAGGUUCACAGAGCUAGGACCAGAGGGUCCACAGAGUUAGGGCCCAAGGGCCCGCAGAGUUAUAACCUCGAGUGGCUUGUAUGUGAUAUGUGUGGUAUUUUUGGGGAACUCACUAAGCUUCGUGCUUACAGUGUUUUGUGCUAUGUGUUUCAGGUUUUCUCAGGAUCACGGGACGGCACCAGCUCAAUUGUACACACCAGAGGAAGUGUUUGUUUUGAGGAUCCUGGUUUAUUAAUUGAUUGAACAAAAUACUCAUGUAUUGUAAUUAAAACAAAAAGGAGAUUUUUAGGAAAAGUGUUAAAGCGAUAAACUAUUUUAAAUGAAAAAAAUUCGUUUUGAAAAUUUGGGUGUUACAAGUUGGUAUCAGAGCCUUGGUUUGAGGGAUUCAGAUGCACCUUCGGGUAAAUCUGGACUCAAACUGAGGAAGUAAGAAAUUUUUUUGAAGAAAUGAUUUUCAAAAAGUGAAUAAGAGUUCAAAGAGAAAGCGAGAAAGAGCAGUGUGUACAAUCAGCCAGAGCCCGAACGGUGAUUUCCCAAAAUACCCUUACUUUGUUAUGAGAUAUUUAUGAUACAUUUUAUAAGAUAUUAUGCAUGCUAGAGAUAGGCUAGGUAUUUCAUAUCUUAGGACUAGAGUGGCUUGAUUUGUGAUGCCUUAGCCUAGGAGUUGCUGUUGUAUGUGAUGUGCUUUUGAGUAUGAGAUAAAGUGAGAGUAUUCAGUAGGAAUCAUUUAGGGGAUUCGAGUAAAGGAGUAAUCUAAGAGAGGUAUCUAUAUGAGCAUAUGAGGAGUCUGCCGAGAGGAUAGCAAUAGGCCAUGUGGGCGAAGAUGUUAGAGUUCGGUGAUAUCCUUUGAGUGUGAGGAAAGCGAGUGGAUAACAACCUUGGGAGGUUUUACAUGCUGAAGGAGAUGCUUCGAUGCCCGAAUGUUGCUUGCUUCGUGCUUUGUGGAGCUCUCGAUGAUGAGAGUCAGCUACUAAGUGAAUAUGACGAUAUUCAGGAGGUAGAUGGCUAGCAUCAUUAGGAGUUCUUCAGCAGCUGAUGGCGGAGAAGUGGUAGAACCAAGAAAGAGCCUAGGUAGUAACCUUGGCCAGAUGAGUGCGCUGGCAGAGUAUAGCAUUUCGCUGAGGAGCGAGAACGCAUGACGAAAUUGGUGAACGAGAAGGUUGAGCAGCUACUUAGGAGCUCUGGGAUGGUCCGUGUGGAAAGUAUGGGUAGAUGUGGCAGGUAGUAUGGGCCCGUACUACCGAAAGCGGAGGACCCAUACUCGAUACAGGGAGUAUUCUGAAGGUUCUAAGUAGCAGAUUGAGGAGUGAUGUCAUGGUUCAAAUACCAUGCAUCGUAGCAGAUUGAGGAGUGAUGUUAUGGUUCGAGUACCAUACAUCGGAGUAGAUUGGGAAGUGAUGUUAUGGUUCGAGUACCAUACAUCGGAGCAGAUUGGGGAGUGAAGUCAUGGUUCGAGUACCAUGCAUUGUAGCAGAUUGAGAAGAGAUGCCAGGGGAUGAGUAUCAUGGUUCUUAGCAUAGGAUGCUUGUGAUUCUUCGGUUGUCCGAUCAGGAUUGAUUGGUGGAGUUGGACGCGAUGGGGUUUAAGGCCUGAGGGCCAUGAUUGAGUUCGAAUAGGCAUCCCUUGAGGGGGUGGUCGAGAGCAUUUUAGAGUACCUUGGUAAGAUGUCAGAUGUAGUCGCAAGACAUAGAGAUUAGUAGAGUAGGCUUUUAUGAGGGAUUACGGUCUGAGUGACCAAUCAGCCGAUGGAAGAGAUGUCACCUCCUGUGACUUGUUGGGUGCUAUUUACGUUUCCUAUGGGAAGUAGGAGAGGCGUGAGAUUUCAGUUUUGGGUUUAGGAGUAAACCCUACGGGUUGACAUUGAUGUCGAUUUUUCCACCAGAGUAUCAGGCAGCAUGUCUGCCGCAAGGAAAUAAUCUACCAUGAGCAGGUAGUCAGUGGGGACCAAGAUGGUCAAGGACCACAUUACACCCUAAUUGAGUAUAGUAGGGCUUGUAGUAGCGGUAUUAGCGGGUAAUCCAGCCAAGUAUAUCAGAGCGGUGGCUCUUCUGUCUAUGCUGGACAUUGAAUAUGGUAGUGGAGUCCCUAUUCUCGUGAUGAUUCACGUAUUGGAGCGGGGGUUGAGAAGUCGAGGAGGAGGAGUAUGAUGAUUUAUUGUUUCAGUCUAAGAGUCAGUGAUAGUACUGAACAGUUGGGAUGUUCAGUAUUGGGAUAGUAUGAGACUUCGAAUGGCUAGAGACAGUCGUGAUGAGAAGUCCCUGAGGAUUUCUUCGGAGAUUUAGGGUAUUUGAGGUUUCUUGAUCUCUAUGUGGGGAGAUCAUUGGGCGUUCUACGGCACCUUCCAAGCGUAGGUGCGAUGUUUUUGGAGGAAACCGUUUGUGGGGUAGAUUAUUGAUGCGUCAAUUGGUGAUGGUUCGAACCCUAAGAGGGCGAGAACCGGGUAUUUUAUUGGGGGAAACCAGAGAUUUGUGCAAGAGCAGUUAGGGGUUGGAUUCGGAGACCUGCGGCUCAAAUUCAUGAGACCAGGGUCAUUGGUGAUCAAGGAGAGGUGCAGAGCGAGAUAAUGCUUGUGGUGCGUGUCUGAGAAAGGAUGAGUGUCUCCACGGCAGGCGGCCGAUGGUCAGGAAUCUGGAGGUGGUCAGGGCCGUUUCGAGUGGAAGGCUCGUAAUGAUGGUAUGGGCAGUUGAGGACUUCUGGGUCGAAGUAUGGAUAGAAGAUUAUCGAGCAGCCAACUUCCAGACCGGUAUGUGUAUUUUUGCUUGGAUUUGAGCAGUAGGGGAAAGGGUUUCGUAGGAUCAUCAACGUGUUCUAAAGCGUUAGCGCUUUCUUUGUAUUCUAAUUGAGUGUUUGGAUACACUGAAGUUGCGCAUUGGGUAAAAUGAAAACUUAUUUAUAGGGUUCAGAGGAAAUGUAUUGUUGUAUCUGUAUGGUGCUGGGAGUAGGAGAUCAGUGGUUGAAGCAGGACCCAAUGAUGUUCUGUAAUGGUGUUCCGUAAUACCCGGGUAUAAUGUUCCGAUUUCGGAGUUAUUUGGAAUUUUAAGUUUGAGACGACUAGUGGUGUAUCAUGUAUCUACAGUUCCAGUGGGAGCCCUUCGGGUAUUUGCAUCAAGAGGGAUUAAUUAAGAAAGUGGAUCUCCGCAGAGGUAGGAAUUUUGUUAUAGCGGUUACCGCUAGAGACUGUGAUGCAUAUGUGGGCCAAAGGUGUGUAGCUAUCUAUGAUAGUCUACGGAGCAUGGGUUAGUGGAUGUAGUGUGGCUUUGUGAUGAGAAUGAGAGUAUGGGGUGAAGCUACGGGGAGCCGUAGUAUUCAUUAUUCAUAGGGUAUUGUGAUGUUGCGGGGAGCCGUAGUACUCACAAGUCAGAGAGAGGAAGUCGUGGUACUACGGGGAGCCGUAGUACUCACUAGUCAGUUGGUGUUGUGGUGCUGCGGGGAGCCGUAGUACUCACUAGUCAGUUGGCAUUGUGGUGUUACGGGGAGCCAUAGUACUCACUAGUCAGAGGCUGUCGUGAUGUUGCGUGGAGCCAUAGUACUCACUAGACGGCAAGAGAGUGCGAUGAUGGAGUGUUCUCCGAUCAGUGUAUGAUGCAGAAGAGUUUUAGGCUUGAGUAGCCCUAGUAUUGUGUUUUUGGAGCCUAGUGGUUGAACCAGGGGUGAGACUGGGGUCUCCGUCUCUGUCGGGAAUCAUUAUAUUUUGUUUUGAGUUGUGAUUGUCGCAACAUGAGGAUGUUGGAAAAGUGGUAUUGCACGGGGUGCAGGCUGAGUCAUGAGAAGAGUAUCUUAUUGGGUAGCGAGGUUCCAACUUUGGGUCGAACCAAACUCUCGAGUUGAGUUUGGCAUUGAUGGUGCAUGGGUAAAUGAGAUGAAAUUCUGGAAUUCUGAGGUGAAUUCUUGGAUGAGGGUAUUGUUGUCAUCCGAUGUCUAAAACAUGUAUAGGUCAGUAAUCGGGUACGGGAGAUACCGCGAGAUGCACAUGAGAUAUGCGCAGCAGACAUCAGAGGUCAAGGUUGAGUCAAUCUUCGGUUGGAUUGUAGUUUUCGUAUGAGUUAAAGAGAAUUUUGUGACUUGUGUGUCACUGGGCCGAGAUAGUUGACACGAGAAGGAAGUUAGUGAGACAUUGUGAAUCAUGUCAUGGGUAACCAUGGAAGUUCAACUAUGGGGUUGAGGUUCUAUGAGUUUUCCUAUAACAACAACCAUCAUUCGAGCAUCGGUAUGCCACCCUUUGAGCUGCUGUAUGGGAGGAGGUGUCGGACCCCCAUUUGCUGGGGCGAAGUAGGGCAGCGUGUGAUGGGCAGUAUUGAGAUUGUGCUACAGACGACAGAGCAGAUUCAGCAGGUCAAACAGAGGUUGUUGACCACUCAUAGUCGUCAGAAGAGUUAUGCAGACAGGCGCUGGUCCGAGCUUGAGUUUCAGGUCGACGAUUUCGUGCUCCUGAAGGUCUCACCUUGGAAAAGAGUGAUUCGAUUCAGGAAGAGGGGCAAGUUGGGGCCCCGAUAUAUUGGUCCUUUCAGGGUGAUCGCAAGAGUAUGCAGGGUAGCCUACCGUUUGGAGUUACCUGCAGAGUUGGGUCAGAUCCAUGGCACUUUCCACGUGUCGCAGCUGCGAAAGUGUAUAGCCGACGAGUCGGCAGUGGUUCCAUUAUACGAUAUUCAGGUGGAUGCGAGCCUGAACUAUAUUGAGAGACCGGUGGCGAUUAGGGAUCAGAAAAUCAAGGUUUUGAGGAACAAGGAGGUGCCUCUGGUGCAGGUCCAUUGGCAGCAUCGGAAAGGGUCAGAGUUGACUGGGGAGCCGGAGCGUAGGAUGCGGGAGCAGCAUCCAGAGUUGUUUGCAGAGUAAGACUUCGAGGGAGAAGUCUAAUUCUAGUGGGUGGAAGAAUUGUAACACCCGGAUUCCCAGGUAUAUUAUUUUAUUCCUUUAUUUUUGGAGGUUGGGAGGGGACUCGCCAAGUUGGUGUUAGACUCGCCGAGUAUGGUCGCGGAUUCUUAUCCGGGUUCACAGCUAGACUCGGCGAGUUAAUGAGUGGACUCGGCGAGUCCAUGCUGGUUAAUGAAAACCUAAUUUCCUGGGUUUGGGACCUAUUUAAAGGCCCUUAGGGCCGUCAUUUGCGGCUACCAAACCCCAGAGAGAAACCCUAGGAGAUCUAGAGCGUUUGUGAGGAAGGAGAGGCCAUUCUUGAUCAUUUUGUUGGUGUAAUUGCAAAAUGAGGUGACCAAGGCAAGAGGAGGCUGAAGGAGGUGCGAUUCUGGUGACUUUAGAGUUCAUAGACUUCAUCUUGAGGUAUUUAUUUGGACCUUCUUUAGAUUUGGUGUUGAUUCUUAGAGUUAGGGUUUUCUAACCCCUUUAGAGGAUGGAUAUGUGGAGCAAUUGGUCCCUUCUCGAGUUUAUGCUUUGGAUCUGGACUCAAAGAGGUCCAGAGACCUUAACCCUUGGAGCUUUAUGAGUUAUUUUGGGAGCCAUGAACUUAGGAUGUUAUUUUUGGGGCUAAAUCACCAAGUGAGACCAUCUAGAUGUUAUAUUAGUAUCAAGGUAUGAACUUUACGUGAUUAUCAUGCUUGGGAAGGUCAGAUCUAUAGAUUUAAGGAAUAGAUCUGACCUCAGGAGGUCAAAGGAGUUUGUGCAUGGCAUGAACUCGCCGAGUCUGAAGAACAACUCGACGAGUAGGGUUAGGGUUUCCCGUAAAUCACUCAGUGAGUAGACUUUCCGAGUUGGGGAUAUAACUCAGUGAGUCAGAGGGGGAUUAGGGGACUGGAGUUCAAGGCGGAACUCGCCGAGUUGUUCUUGAGACUCGUCGAGUUGUGUCGGGGUGGCCCCACGAUUCAUGCCAGGUGUAGCUCGUCGAGCAAAGGGAAAUACUCGACGUGCCAAGAGAGACUAAAGAGAUAGUGGACACAUGUAGACUCGCCGAGUCGCCCAAGUGCACUCAACGAGUCAGGUCAAAGUUUGACCGUUGACUUUUGUUG